rnacentral:rRNA from 1 species
UACGUAGGUGGCACGCGUUGUCCGGAUUUAUUGGGUUUAAAGGGUGCGUAGGCUGCUUUGUAAGUCAGUGGUGAAAUAUGGCAGCUCAACUGUCAGGGUGCCAUUGAUACUGCGGAGCUUGAGUACAGAUGAGGUAGGCGGAAUUGACGGUGUAGCGGUGAAAUGCUUAGAUAUCGUCAAGAACACCGAUAGCGAAGGCAGCUUACUGGGCUGUAACUGACGCUGAGGCGCGAAAGCUAGGGGAGCGAACGGG